CCGUAACUAUAACGGUCCUAAGGUAGCGAAAUUCCUUGUCGGGUAAGUUCCGACCCGCACGAAAGGCGUAAUGAUUUGGGCACUGUCUCAACAAUGCACCCGGUGAAAUUGAAAUACCAGUGAAGAUGCUGGUUACCUGCGCCAGGACGGAAAGACCCCAUGGAGCUUUACUCCAGCUUGAUACUGGGAUUCGGUACUGCAUGUACAGGAUAGGUGGGAGGCUGAGAAGCAUGGACGCCAGUCUGUGUGGAGCCAAUGUUGGGAUACCACCCUUGCAGUAUUGGGUUUCUAACCAGCAGCCGUGAUCCGGCUGGGGGACAAUGUCAGGCGGGGAGUUUGACUGGGGCGGUCGCCUCCGAAAGGGUAUCGGAGGCGCUCAAAGGUUCCCUCAGAAUGGUUGGAAACCAUUCGAAGAGUGCAAAGGCAGAAGGGAGCUUGACUGCGACACCGACGGGUGGAGCAGGUACGAAAGUAGGACUUAGUGAUCCGGUGGUAUAAAGUGGGAUUGCCAUCGCUCAACGGAUAAAAGCUACCCUGGGGAUAACAGGCUUAUCACUCCCAAGAGUUCACAUCGACGGAGUGGUUUGGCACCUCGAUGUCGGCUCAUCGCAUCCUGGGGCUGUAGUAGGUCCCAAGGGUUGGGCUGUUCGCCCAUUAAAGCGGUACGCGAGCUGGGUUCAGAACGUCGUGAGACAGUUCGGUCCCUAUCCGGCGUGGGCGUAGGAUAUUUGAGAGGAGCUGCCCUUAGUACGAGAGGACCGGGGUGGACUGGCCGCUGGUGUAUCUGUUGUAUUACCAAGUGCAUAGCAGAGUAGCCAAGCCGGGAAGGGAUAAACGCUGAAGGCAUCUAAGCGUGAAGCCCCCCUCAAGAUGAGAUAUCCCAUACGCAAGUAGUAAGACCCCUUGAAGACGACGAGGUAGAUAGGGCAGAGGUGGAAGUACAGUAAUGUAUGGAGCUGACUAAUACUAAUCGGUCGAGGGCUUGACCAG
rnacentral:rRNA from 1 species